ACUCCGAUCAGCGGCAUUUGGGAAGGGUGUUGUACAAGAGAAAUGCGUGGGAUAUUGUUGUCCUUAGCCAAUGCACAGCCUUUAUAUUGUCACGUGAUUUUCGGUCAUUCUGCUAGGUGCGUCUGACUGAGUUUAUGAAUAAAUUGGUUGACAUUCUCGGUGCUGUGAACAAAGGAACUUUCCUGUCGAGGAAGGACAACUACAUACGGACUGACUAUUAAGAAAAGGCGGCAUCAGUCUGACAAAAUGAACUCCCAGAACCUUCUACAGUGUGUCGUAAUGUUUCUGUCAGCAGUGACGAUAUCUCUAGCACUUAAAGAAACCAUGGCAACGAACGAUGACGUCGAAACACCCUUUUCAGCAGACAAUAUCGGAUACAUUGUUGGUAAACUACAGCGGCGCAGUGGACUUUCGCUUUUAGCUCCUCCAAGUGUAUAUGGAUCAAAAUUCGCCCCCUACGUACAAAACCCUCCCGACAAACGCGCCCGGUAUCUCAUCUGGAUGCCCGCACAAGGUUAUGUGUCAGUGCCCCAAGAAGAUAUCAGUAAUGUAGCAGGGAGCUCAGCAUCGUCAAAACUUUUCCGGUAUGGCUAGAGAAUGAUUUGGUUAAUAAUCAUCUCUAAUCAGAGUGCUAAGAAAUCAUGACAACUGUGAAAGCUGUUUAUAUUCAUGACUAACAUUGAAGAAUGUUCAAAUUGGGGACAUAUUUGGUUCAUUUUUCUGUGAUCCUGAAAUCUACCAAAAUCUUUCAUUUCGGAAGAUAAAACGAAAGUUGUUGCAUUCAAUAACAUGUCAUAACAGAAUCAAAACUCUUUUAUUCUUUUGUUGUAGACCUAUCAUGCAUUUUACAUGUCACGAUCAAAAUGCAAUUUAAAUUUCUUGUCCAAAAUAAAAAUCAAUACUGACUAUGACUUAUGUGAAAAUACAUUUCAUAGCGAGUCUGGGUCAUACAUAUUCAUAUAGCCUUUCUCCUCCUGACUUUGGAGGGACAAUGCAUUAAUUCCUGUUCAUUGUGAUAUCGACAGACACAACUAUUUACGGUAAACGUAGCAUUGUUACCGGCAACAGUCUAACAAAAUAUACACAUUAAAUACAUAAAAAUCUAUUGAAGCAAUAGAAUUUGUAUCCAUAUGUAGAAGAUAAUCAGUGCUAACGUUAUUGAUGAGGACAGGCGAAGGCUUUAUAAAAAGACCAUAAAUCACACUAAAUUUGAUUUUGAAUGUGUACACUACCGGAAGAUAAAUGGAAAUAUAAUUACGAUUGUGAUGGAGAUAUUCCUUGUGGAGAAUUAGGAAAAUACGUCUGUCAAUAAACAUUUAUGUGUGAUUAUUUGGAAAAUCUAAAUAGAAACAUAAUUCAUAAAUAUUGUAAAUGGUUGCAAAUCAAAUGAAAAGGAAAUAAAGUUGUUAUUUUCAAUU